AAUGCUUCAAAGCUCCUUCAAAACCCGAUGCUUCUCUGGGUGUUGGCAGGGGAGAGGAAGACAGAGGACACAAGGACCUUGAUGGGACAGGAGGGUCCCUGUCCUCUUUGUCAGUGGAGGAGAAAAGCUUGUGAAGAGGAGCCAGCCAGCCGUCCUGGGCUACAAGAGCACAUCCUGAGUGAGGCCCUCUAAUUGCUGGGUCGGCUGGAGAGAGAAUGCCAGGUUGGAAAAGAACUGCUUGUAACAAUUAUUACAAUUGAAAAACUUGUAAUAAACCUUCUAUUGAAGAAAUUGUAUGUAAGUA
rnacentral:lncRNA from 12 species